rnacentral:lncRNA from 1 species
CACCCACCACUGGCUGACCGUCUGGCGGCCCUCAAAGUCGGGUGGGAGGUGGCUCAUGCGGUGCAUGGUCUCCAUCAGCUCUCGCAGGUCGGGCUGGAUCUGAGACACACACAGCGGCUGGGACCCCGACGCCGGCUCCAUCCCCUCCUGCCUAGGCCCCCUGCCAGCCCAAUACCCGCACCUCAUCCAUGGCGCGGAUCUCCAGACGCAGCUUGUCCAUGACCGUGAUGAAGAGCUGGGGGCAGGUGUGCACAUGAGGCUCGCGUGUCCACGGGUGCGGGAGGCCCCACGGCUCACGGGCCCCAACCCCUCCUCAGCCACAGCUGUCACUUGGGCCUCCUCACUGUACUCUGUUCCCAAACCCUGCAGGCCUCCUGGGUGAACGAGGUCCUGGCUGCCCAGACAGCUGUGUGGGAACUGAAGGGUGGGCCCACACCCACACUCUCUCCCGAGGCCAGGACCCCGCCAGAACGCACCCUGUGCUCAUCCCCCCGACAGGAGUCCAGGUGGCCUGGGGGCGUCCCCGCAUGCUGCCCACCCCUCAUUCCUAGUUAAAGGGGUUCCCUUCUGCCCAGCAAGUCAGAGUGCUGCUCAGCUCUGGAGGCCCAGGACCCUACGCUCGUGCCCAGCUGCAGCAGGCAGCCUCGGCUCUCCUAACCACGUGCCCUGGGGGCUGGGGCGCACCGAGACCACGUCUGCGAUGCAGCGGUUGAGGUUGCCCUUGUCGUCCUUGAUGGUGAUGGGCCGGUCCUCCUUGAUCCGCUCCAUGGCCAGCGGGCAGUCCAGCACCAGGCACUCACGCGGAACUUGCGGCAGAAUUCGUCAAUAGAGCUGAUUUCUGAGCCCUGGACCUGCCUGAAGGCAGCUUUGUAUUGGACCAGGAGCCGGGAGCAGGCUGCAGUGUACCUAGGGAGAGGUCAGCUGCUGCCCAAGCAUGGGACCAGCCCCACCCAGCUCAUCCUACCCCCUCGGCUGGUCCAGAGGCAAAGCAGCUUCCAGAGAGGACCAGGCGACAGGCAAAGGCAGGCCGAGCAAGGAGGAGGGGCUGCUAGUAGCUUUUGGGGGUGAGGCCCUGAGCACGUAGUGGGGCUUGUAGCUCGGCUCCAGGUGGAGACCCCGGCCCCCAACCCCUGCCCACCCUCUGAACCACAGCGACCAGCCCUCUGUUGUGAUGGCCGCAUCCACAGCUCAUGGUCCUGUGCGGUGGCCUGUGACGGUCUUGUCACUUCAUUGAACAAAGCCCCCCCAAAAGAUCCUGGGACAUCCCCAAGCCUCUCGACCGUUUUUUAAGGUUGCCUGUGCUGGGGGAUGAGGGUGGGGGAGUGGGCCGGAUGACACCCCAGGAGCUGCGCCUCUGCCCGCCUCCCUCACCAGCCCCCAGGACUUCCCUGGCUGAGACCCAGGGGCACCCUCCUCACGCUGGGUGGGCCCCACACAAGUGGGUGCCUCCCAGCCUGACAGACGCCUGCUCUUGCUGCCUAUGGAGCACCCAAGCCCCCCAGGGCAGGAACAGACCUCCCAGGACGUGGGCUCUUACUCGCUGGGGGAGACACAGUCCUUGAUGUAGGCCUUCUCCAGGGCUUGCAUUGUCUUCACCACCGCAAACAGCUCUGCCAUGUUGUCGUACCUACUAUGGACACUCAGGAGAGCGGGGCGGGGGCUGCAGUGGAGUGUGGUUCAAGCUGGAGGUUGAGGGAGGUUAUGAGGGCGGCAGGCAGCUGUUUGAUGGCCCACGAGGAGAGUUUGGGGCACAGGAAACAACACACUUAACAGCCCGCCUUUAAGUAGGCAUGAACUUGGAGGAACCAACAAGCUGAAGGUGCAGCUUCUCGAAAGAGGGGGUCCUAGGGAAUGAAGAUGGAGAGGUGCCCCUAGUUGGGCAGCGAGCUGUGGAGAAACAAUGGGAGCGGGGCCCGUGGGAGGGUCCUGCCUAGCACGGAAGCUGGGCCAGCUCCAGACGUUCUCUCUGCUCUCGGUGGAGAGGCCCGGGAGAGCAGCGCUGAGCCGGCUAACUGGGAGUGGACGGUGCUACCGGGGAUGGGAGAAGAGCAGAAGUGAGGGAAGGCCGCCCGCGCCGAAGCCCUGGGGCGCCCCAGCCGAGGAAGAGCCGGGAAAGGGCGUCGCCGCUCAUGUAGGUAGGGAACGUCUGGGUCAAGCUCUCCGAGGGUCGAGGCCAUUGCGAGCCGCGGGGUGGGGACCGAGGCUGCUCGGCAGCCGUCACGGAGCCGCCAGGCAGGAGAGCGCCGAGGAGCCAACCGCCCCAACCACGCAGGAGCUUCUGCCUAACAGCGAAAGCGGACGUUCUGCGGCCACAAGCAAAUGUGCAAAACAACCUCGCAGAGUGGACAACGAGCAAGGAAAGCCAGUUUCUAGAACAUGCCAAUAACGUUGCCCCAGGGACCCGCCAUCCCUGCCCAGGGCCAGAAGCCCCCUCAGCUGCUUCUCCCAUUCCCAGGUAGCCGGCCCCUCCUCUCCCUGCAGCCCAGCACACCACCAGCCCCUCUGCUAUUCCUGGGGGCCACAGGAUCCUCCUGGAACACACCAGGGAGCCCUCGUCACACGCCCCACCCUGACAUGCAAACACGAGCACCCUGGCAUGGAGCUGCACAGGCUCACCUUUCGAGUGCGGAGGGUGACGGACGCCCCCCGUUCAAGCAGCAGCUCAGCCACCUCGAAGUGGCCACAGUUGAGGGCAUCGUGGAGGGGGGUGAUGCCUUCGCAGCCCUGGCCACCUGGGUCGUCCACUGCGGCCCCGUGGUCCAGCAGGAAGCGGACAAUUUCUGCAGACCAGGAGACGUAAGCCCAGCUCCCGAUGCCCCGCCAGGACUGACUCUUCGCCCCACGUGUCCACCAAGGUCACCGCAACCUCCGCCUCCCAGGUUCAAGCGAUUCUCCUGCCUCAGCCUCCCGAGUAGCUGGGACUACAGGGUCUCACUGUGUUGCCCAGGCUGGAGUGCAGUGGCAUGAUCGCGACUCCUGCAGCCUCAAUCUCCCUCCCAGGAUGAAGUGAUCCUCCUGCCUCUAGGACCACAGGUGGCCCUGAAGCUCCUCGUCCUCCUCCAGCUGCGGGGUCAGGCCAUCGGUGUCGUCCUCUGGAACAGAGCCAAGCCCACCCCAGGGGAGUCCGUGGGAGGUGAAGGAGGCCAAGGCCGCCCCAGGCUCCCUGCGGGUCACCACCUUCUCUGUCCAGUUCCGGGAAAGCACUGGCCGUCCUGCCUGCCUGUGGCUGUUCCUGCUACAGCCCUAAGCAGGCUCCACAGCAGCACAGCACACCCCUCUCCAGC